UACAUUUAAGUAUAUGAUGUACAAAAGUUUUUGAUACUUUUAGGGAUAGUUUAAUUCUAUCAAAUGUAA
rnacentral:tRNA from 1 species